ACGGAAGGCAGCAGUGGGGAAUAUUGCACAAUGGGGGAAACCCUGAUGCAGCAACGCCGCGUGAAGGAUGAAGGCCUUUGGGUCGUAGACUUCUGUCCUUGAGGAAGAUAAUGACGGUACUCUUGGAGGAAGCCCCGGCUAACUACGUGCCAGCAGCCGCGGUAAUACGUAGGGGGCAAGCGUUAUCCGGAAUUAUUGGGCGUAAAGGGUGCGUAGGCGGUUUUUUAAGCGCGGGGUGAAAGGCAAUGGCUUAACCAUUGUUAGCCCUGCGAACUGGGAGACUUGAGUGCUGGAGAGGAAAGCGGAAUUCCUAGUGUAGCGGUGAAAUGCGUAGAUAUUAGGAGGAACACCAGUGGCGAAGGCGGCUUUCUGGACAGUAACUGACGCUGAGGCACGAAAGUGUGGGGAGCAAACAGGAUUAGAUACCCUGGUA
rnacentral:rRNA from 1 species